GCGCCAUUAGUUCAUCGGUAGAAUACGACCUUCCCAAGGUUGAGAGGUGGGUUCGAUUCCCAUAUGGCGCU
rnacentral:tRNA from 1 species